CAAAUUUAAUAAACAACAGGUGCCUGCAGGGUUAAAAGGGAAUCAGGUGUAAAUCCUGAGCGGUCGCGCCACUGUAACCGGGGAGUUUUUCCUCAGAGGCCACUGGUGAUCUACUGGGAAGGCGAGGAAAAGUAAUGAGCCGGGAGCCAGGAAACCUGCCUGUUGGUUCAACCCUCG
rnacentral:ncRNA from 2 species